rnacentral:rRNA from 1 species
CCCUUAGAUGUCCUGGGCUGCACGCGCGCUACACUGACCCUAACAAUGAGCAACUGUCUGGCCUGAGAUGGCUGGGUAGCCUUUUCAACCCAUGUCAUGAUUGGGCUAGAUUUUUGUAAGUCUUGAUCUCUAACGAGGAAUCCCUAGUAUGCGUGAAUCAUCAAUCCAUGCAGAUUAUGUCCCUGCCCUUUGUACACACCGCCCGCCGCUCCUACUGAUUGGGUGAUCCGGUGAGCUGUUCGGCCAUAGCAAUGUUUCUUGAGCAGGGCAAUGAAUGUUUCGCAAACCUUGCCACUUAGAGGAAGGAGAAGUCGUAACA